rnacentral:tRNA from 8 species
CUGCCCGUAGCUCAACUGGAUAGAGCAACGGCCUUCUAAGCCGUAGGUCGGGGGUUCGAGUCCCUCCGGGCAGGCCA